rnacentral:rRNA from 1 species
AUUGAACGCUGGCGGCAGGCUUAACACAUGCAAGUCGAGCGGAGCGAGGGUGCUUGCACCUUAGCUUAGCGGCGGACGGGUGAGUAAUGCUUAGGAAUCUGCCUAUUAGUGGGGGACAGCAUUCCGAAAGGAAUGCUAAUACCGCAUACGCCCUACGGGGGAAAGCAGGGGAUCUUCGGACCUUGCGCUAAUAGAUGAGCCUAAGUCGGAUUAGCUAGUUGGUGGGGUAAAGGCCUACCAAGGCGACAAUCUGUAGCGGGUCUGAGAGGAUGAUCCGCCACACUGGGAGUGAGACACGGCCCAGACUCCUACGGGAGGCAGCAGUGGGGAAUAUUGGACAAUGGGCGGAAGCCUGAUCCAGCCAUGCCGCGUGUGUGAAGAAGGCCUUUUGGUUGUAAAGCACUUUAAGCGAGGAGGAGGCUACUAGUAUUAAUACUACUGGAUAGUGGACGUUACUCGCAGAAUAAGCACCGGCUAACUCUGUGCCAGCAGCCGCGGUGACAC